rnacentral:rRNA from 1 species
AUUGAACGCUGGCGGCAGGCCUAACACAUGCAAGUCGAGCGGAUGAAGGGAGCUUGCUCCUGGAUUCAGCGGCGGACGGGCGAGUAAUGCAUAGGAAUCUGCCUGGUAGUGGGGGAUAACGUCCGGAAACGGGCGCUAAUACCGCAUACGUCCUGAGGGAGAAAGUGGGGGAUCUUCGGACCUCACGCUAUCAGAUGAGCCUAGGUCGGAUUAGCUAGUUGGUGGGGUAAAGGCCUACCAAGGCGACGAUCCGUAACUGGUCUGAGAGGAUGGUCAGUCACACUGGAACUGAGACACGGUCCAGACUCCUACGGGAGGCAGCAGUGGGGAAUAUUGGACAAUGGGCGAAAGCCUGAUCCAGCCAUGCCGCGUGUGUGAAGAAGGUCUUCGGAUUGUAAAGCUCUUUUAGUUGGGAGGAAGGGCAGUAAGUUAAUACCUUGCUGUUUUGACGUUACCAACAGAAUAAGCACCGGCUAACUUCGUG